ensembl:lncRNA
CUUGUAGCUUUGGAUGCUGGGGCUCAUCAGAGAGGUCUUCAAGCAGAGAUGUCUUACUUAGAGAAACAAGACUACAGCCUGCAAAUCUAAAUCAAUUUGAGAAGAUUAAAGAAAAUGGUAAGGCCUAACAUCAUGAAAUGAAACCAAAACAAUGUCAAAGCCCUGCAAGAAUGAUGGAGUCCCAUCCAUCACUUAAGAAGAGAAGCUGAGAGCAAAUGUAAAGCCUUCAGAACACUGGAACAGCUGGACCAUAGGAUCUUUAAGGUUGGAAAAGACCACUAUGAUCAUCUAGUCUAAUCACCAACACAACCCACCCACUUGGUGGAAGACUAAAAAACAGAAGCGAAAGUGAAAUUGUCAACUAAAUAAGCUUCCUCUGAGCACUGUUGAUGCUGCCGAGUUUUAAACAAAAACGUGUACAGAAAAGGGUUUUAUCAAGAG